UACGGAGGGUGCAAGCGUUAAUCGGAAUUACUGGGCGUAAAGCGCACGCAGGUGGCUGAGUCAGUCGAUUGUGAAAGCCCCGGGCUCAACCUGGGAAUGGCGAUGGAUACUGGCUCGCUAGAGUGCGGUAGAGGAGACUGGAAUUCCUGGUGUAGCAGUGAAAUGCGUAGAUAUCAGGAGGAAUACCGAUGGCGAAGGCAGGUCUCUGGGCUGACACUGACGCUCAUGCACGAAAGCGUGGGGAGCAAACAGG
rnacentral:rRNA from 1 species